rnacentral:tRNA from 1 species
GGCGCUGUGGCUCAAGGGGUAGAGCGUCAGCUUUGAGCUGAAGAGCUGAGGGACAGCGCCC